GAUGAACGCUGGCGGCGUGCUUAACACAUGCAAGUCGAACGGAAAGGCCCAAGCUUGCUUGUGUACUCGAGUGGCGAACGGGUGCGUAACACGUGGGUGAUCUGCCCUGCACUUCGGUAUAAGCCUGGGAAACUGGGUCUACUCUCGUAUAGGACCACUUCUUGGAUGUUGUGGUGGAAAUUUUUUUCGGUGUGGGAUGAGCUCGCGGCCUAUCAGCUUUUUGGUGGGGUAAUGGCCUACCAAGGCGUCGACGGGUAGCCGGCCUGAGAGGGUGUACGGCGACAUUGGGACUGAGAUACGGCCCAGACGGCGACGGGAGGCAGAAGGGGGGAAGAUUGAACAAGGGGUGCAAGCCUGAUGCAGAGACGCCGCGUGGGGGAUGACGGCCUUCGGGUUGUAAAAUACUUUCGCUAGGGACGAAGCGUUUUGUGACGGUACCUGGAGAAGUAGCACCGGCUAACUACGUG
rnacentral:rRNA from 1 species